UGCGGUUGUAGCUCAGUUGGUUAGAGCGCUGGUUUGUGGCACCAGAGGUCGUAGGUUCGAAUCCCACCAACCGUACCAG
rnacentral:tRNA from 1 species